UACGGAGGGAGCUAGCGUUGUUCGGAAUUACUGGGCGUAAAGCGCGCGUAGGCGGCUUUGCAAGUUAGAGGUGAAAGCCCGGGGCUCAACCCCGGAAUUGCCUUUAAGACUGCAUCGCUAGAAUCCAGGAGAGGUGAGUGGAAUUCCGAGUGUAGAGGUGAAAUUCGUAGAUAUUCGGAAGAACACCAGUGGCGAAGGCGGCUCACUGGACUGGUAUUGACGCUGAGGUGCGAAAGCGUGGGGAGCAAACAGG
rnacentral:rRNA from 1 species